rnacentral:lncRNA from 1 species
AUUAGUAAUUGAUUCAUUAAACCUAAAGAUUUGGACUUUAAUCAAAAAGUUUCUCUCACUAUUUUAUUCGAAUUGGUAGCCUCUACCUCCAAUUCGAGGAAUUACCCUAAUUCUUUAGUGGGUACUAGAAUCCACUUAGACUACACACAAGCCCAACUUUGGUUGGCCAACCCAUGUACAUCUAAGGGUAGGUUCAUAACCAAUUGUUUCUCUAAAUAAUUUCUAGUAAUUUUAAUUUUGCCUCAGAAAUCUAAUCAGUAGGCUUUGGCCUCCACUGUAAGGAUCCGGUUAGGUCCAACCAUUAACAUGAUCAUACUUGGUGUAUCUAACCAACAAAUGAUUAAGCCCAACUUUGGUUGGCUCACCUAACCACCAUUAGAGAGACACUUCCAAGUCAUCAUAUGAUGAGUGAUAAUUCCAUUAGUCAACAAGCACCAGGCCUUUGGGUUUGUAAUGAUUAUUGAGUUAAUGGAUUCAUUAUCAAACACCUUAAUGGGAGGCUAUGACUCAGUUAUCUCUAUAACUUUAUCAUUUUAAGGACCUAAUAAUUUUAGAGGAUUUAAAUAAUUUAGAGGAUGAGGUCAAAUGAACCAGCUUAUCAUGAUCCUCCCACUGGCUUCACCAAGUCAGCUUAAGGGAGACCAUUUAAAGGGCUGGUCUAGGAGCACCUAAAUCAGUCACACUGAUUUACCUAGCUGACAUGGGUCAGCUCGAAUAGUCAAGUGAUCCGAUCAAAAUUUAAUUUCAUCAAGAGGUCAGAUAAGUUCGAUCAGUGGGAGGGUCUGCCAAAGCUUGCCUUAAACACCAUCAGAAAUGGCCAGGUAAGCGAGCUCCCAAUUAAAAACCACCGGUUUGAUUUACCUUAGACACCAACUGGUUUAAUUAGUUUCGAUUAGAUCAACCUAACAGUUCGUGCUAGACCGCUUAGUCAAGAAUCAAGUCCAUUUGAUUCUCGUUAAAGACAUGGACUUGACCAACUACAACUAUUGUAAUUGAUCUAG